AUUGAACGCUGGCGGCAUGCCUUACACAUGCAAGUCGAACGGCAGCACGGGUGCUUGCACCUGGUGGCGAGUGGCGAACGGGUGAGUAAUACAUCGGAACAUGUCCUGUAGUGGGGGAUAGCCCGGCGAAAGCCGGAUUAAUACCGCAUACGAUCUACGGAUGAAAGCGGGGGACCUUCGGGCCUCGCGCUAUAGGGUUGGCCGGUGGCUGAUUAGCUAGUUGGUGGGGUAAAGGCCUACCAAGGCGACGAUCAGUAGCUGGUCUGAGAGGACGACCAGCCACACUGGGACUGAGCCACGGCCCAGACUCCUACGGGAGGCAGCAGUGGGGAAUGUUGGACAAUGGGCGAAAGCCUGAUCCAGCAAUGCCGCGUGUGUGAAGAAGGCCUUCGGGUUGUAAAGCACUUUUGUCCGGAAAGAAAUCCUUGGCCCUAAUACGGUCGGGGGAUGACGGUACCGGAAGAAUAAGCACCGGCUAACUACGUG
rnacentral:rRNA from 1 species